UGGGGAAUUUUGGACAAUGGGCGAAAGCCUGAUCCAGCAAUGCCGCGUGUGUGAAGAAGGCCUUCGGGUUGUAAAGCACUUUUGUCCGGAAAGAAAUCCUUGGCUCUAAUACAGUCGGGGGAUGACGGUACCGGAAGAAUAAGCACCGGCUAACUACGUGCCAGCAGCCGCGGUAAUACGUAGGGUGCAAGCGUUAAUCGGAAUUACUGGGCGUAAAGCGUGCGCAGGCGGUUUGCUAAGACCGAUGUGAAAUCCCCGGGCUCAACCUGGGAACUGCAUUGGUGACUGGCAGGCUAGAGUAUGGCAGAGGGGGGUAGAAUUCCACGUGUAGCAGUGAAAUGCGUAGAGAUGUGGAGGAAUACCGAUGGCGAAGGCAGCCCCCUGGGCCAAUACUGACGCUCAUGCACGAAAGCGUGGGGAGCAAAACAGGAUUAGAUACCCUGGUAGUCCACGCCCUAAACGAUGUCAGCUAGUUGUUGGGGAUUCAUUUCCUUAGUAACGUAGCUAACGCGUGAAGUUGACCGCCUGGGGAGUACGGUCGCAAGAUUAAAACUCAAAUGAAUUGACGGGGUCAUAGCUGUUUCCU
rnacentral:rRNA from 1 species